rnacentral:tRNA from 2 species
CGGGGCGUAGCGCAGCCCGGUAGCGCACUUGACUGGGGGUCAAGGGGUCGCUGGUUCGAAUCCAGUCGUCCCGACCA